AUAGAACAUGCCCCUGCAGCCUCACUGCUCAAUCCUCUGCCAUUUAGGAGUUAAAUCCCUUUGUUUAUGAACCCUAGUCACACCUCCCUGCAUGCGACUUGCACAGCCUUCCAUAAACACUUCCUGUAAAGAGAGCCCUAUUUAGGCUUUCUUUAUUGCAAGUUCUGUUUAAUUAAGAUUUUCUUAUCCCCUGCUAUGUUAAUAGCUUGCUAGACCCUGCAAGAGCCUCCUGUAUGUGAUUAAAGUUCAAUUUAGA